GAUGAACGCUGGCGGUCUGCUUAACACAUGCAAGUCGAACGGAAUCCUUAGGGAUUUAGUGGCGGACGGGUGAGUAACACGUAAGAACCUGCCUCUAGGACGGGGACAACAGUUGGAAACGACUGCUAAACCCGGAUGAGCCGAAAGGUAAAAGAUUAAUCGCCUAGAGAGGGGCUUGCGUCUGAUUAGCUAGUUGGUGAGGUAAGAGCCCACCAAGGCGACGAUCAGUAGCUGGUCUGAGAGGAUGAUCAGCCACACUGGGACUGAGACACGGCCCAGACUCCUACGGGAGGCAGCAGUGGGGAAUUUUCCGCAAUGGGCGAAAGCNUGACGGAGCAAGACCGCGUGGGGGAGGAAGGUUCUUGGAUUGUCAACCCCUUUUCUCAGGGAAGAACACAAUGACGGUACCUGAGGAAAAAGCAUCGGCUAACUCCGUGCCAGCAGCCGCGGUAAUACGGGGGAUGCAAGCGUUAUCCGGAAUGAUUGGGCGUAAAGAGUCCGUAGGUAGUCAUCCAAGUCUGCUGUUAAAGAGCGAGGCUUAACCUCGUAAAGGCAGUGGAAACUGGAAGACUAGAGUGUAGUAGGGGCAGAGGGAAUUCCUGGUGUAGCGGUGAAAUGCGUAGAGAUCAGGAAGAACACCGGUGGCGAA
rnacentral:rRNA from 1 species